UGGUGGAGUGAUUUGUCUGGUUAAUUCCGUUAACGAACGAGACCUUAGCCUACUAAAUAGCGCUCCAAUCAUGAUUGGAGGCGACUUCUUAGAGGGACUUUGUAACAAAUACAAGGAAGUUUGAGGCAAUAACA
rnacentral:rRNA from 1 species